AUAGAGGGAACGUCCUUCCUGGCUGUGAAUGUCGUCAGAAUUCCUAGCACACCCUAGAGAUACGUGAUGGUAGAAAAAGAAAAGGAUUUUAAAGUCUCUCUCUCUCUCUCUCUCUCUCUCUGUUCACGUGUCUCUAUCACUCCAUUCUUUAUCCUGUUCUCUAGACUGUCUCUUCACGCACUGGUUUCCCGCGAGGAGUAAUUAUAGAGAACCCGAAGGCUGGCAGACACAUUGAAAUCAGCAUGCACGCCCGUAACAAGAUAUAAAGGUGUCAUGGACCCUCAUUAGAGUAUCUAUAAUCAACAAAGACGUGGUCGAGUCUCAAGUGAAUUAUUGGUACUUAAUUAAGGAAAAGACAAGAGUUCCAAAAUACCCAAAUGGACGUUAUUAGACUCAAUAGGUAAAAUAAUGCUACUUAAGGUAACUCUGGCUAAUCACACUUCCAUAACAAUCCUCAUUCAUCUUCAUAUGAUUACACAAGUGCUCUUGGUGGACGACCAUUGUGAAGAUGUUUAGUAACCAGAGGUAUCUAAGAAAGAAUAAAGACUUUAUGUAAUUCUGUAACUUUAAUUGCUUCUCUUUUUAAAUAGAAUAACAUCAUGUCCAAUGGCACGGAUGGAUAGUGCACCAUGGGAAUCAUCUAAACUUGCAUGUAGACAUAUCCCAUUCAGGUGAAUUCAGUGAUAUGCAGAAACAUGUGUAUCAGGAUCUGGUCGGUUGCAUUGAAGGAAACUUUUGUGCACCCUGAUGGUAUCUGUACAGUAAAAUGAAGUAAGGGAUGAAUACUUGUACAGUGUGUACAGAUACAUAGAGUUCUGUACAGUUAUGAUCAAUGUACUCAGUAUAUACAAACUUAGUAAUGACUAGGAUUGAUAUUGGCAAAAUGUUCCAAGAUCUAUCUGAGCAGUGACUAUACAGGAAAGUUCGACUGUCAGACUCUUCAGGCUUUUGGUCAGCCAGUUUCAGGCAGCCUGUAGACAGGCAAGACGGAGCCAGGCUAGCGUUCGUUGGCUCGGGUGAAGGACCCUGUCUUCCUCUCUCAUUCCCGGGACACUCCUGACUCCCCUGUUCAUCCUUUCUCCCACUACGUGCAUCGCUCCCUCACUGUACCACUCUCUAGUCUCUCCUCUCUCUUCUCUUUCCAUUCCGACUCUCACUCUCUUUCUCUUGCUCUCUCGUAUACCACUCUUCAACCCCACUGCGUCUACCCUGGACUGCUCCAUGAACUCCAGAGUCCGAACGAUACCACCUGGCUCUCGAAUCGAAUGUCGGGACCCAGACGAAAUUACACAAACUACUGCCGGAAUCCUCGGUCAACCCCUCCUUCCUUGGUAUGGCGGAUCGAUCGAUCGUGGGAAAAGAAAUAAUUUCCGCAUUGUUAUGGCACGGUCAAAUGCGACAUCCUGCAUGCUGUUACACCCUUAGGAAAGCAUUGGGUAUCCCCUCGCACUGUGCAGAACGAUACGCACCUGGACUUCUUCUUGGCGAAGACUUUUUACUUUGUCAUCCUAGGGAUUUUUUUUUUUUUGGCAGUCGGUGGAGAUACAAUCUGUAAAAGGUACUAAGGGUUAGAUUGAUAUCUCGUGUGUAUGCAAGAUCAAGAUUAUUCCUACCGAGAAAGUGAAUUCAGUCUAAUUGUCGGUUGCAGUGCUUUAGGGUACUACUUGGGAUCUCUUAUCGAUCUCUAAUAAUUAUUUGCUCUCUCACAUAGUAACAGUCGUGCUAAGGAACUUGUAUGUAAUAACGCCUUUUUUCUAAUGUCUUGUCUCUGGACGACUUUCACCGUCGACGAAGUAUACUUUUCAGGGUCCGCAAUAUAAUCACUGUAAUCCAUUGUUUCCUACAGUACCUUUGUGCUAUAGGCCAUUCGCUACCGCCGGCUUGCGAAGCAGCGUGAAAUGUCUGUAAUGUGCGGAGAAAAUGUCGAGAUUUUUGGUUGCUUGGCGGAUUCGUAUGACGGCGACUUUCAACCCCGUCACGCACGAGCCGUCGCGGAUCUACGAGUCGCUCGUUUUAACGCUCCGGAAACACGUAGCGAUUAAAAUAUUCAAGGUCCAGACGUGCAAGCCAUUCGGCUGGCAGCAACGCGAUAAGUAGAUAGGCACUGCUUAAGCGUUUGAGAGUUUAUUUUCGUGAUGCUCAUUUCUCUUUCUUUCACAGGCGUUUCCUUUACUCUCUUACACUUUUUGUUUUUGCUGAAGGAAUUUUAACGUUGGUGUCUGAAAAGCUAGAAAUAUAUUUAUAACCUUUACUGUAGAAACGUUUUUACCCACCGAUAAAUUCAUUCAGCGAUACUCCGUGUUUUCACAGCUUGGAAUUAGUAGUUAUUCGGCAAGAAUCCCAAGAGACAAAGGACUUCUUUGUGUCCAGACGGGAACAAAAUCUUUACCAAUUUAUUCCUCAUUAUUAUUAGUUAAUCACAGGAUAUUUGCUCGAUAUUAUACUCUACGGGAUAUAUCAUCCAGUCUUUGUCGAAUGUUAAAUAUUUAAACUUUAUCGACUGUCCUUUCAAUCCCUUGUGAACGGCUGAUUAUACGAUUUACAAUGCACGGGAUUAUGGUGAAUUGUUAGCGUAUGUUAAUUAUUGUUAUAUCGAUAUAUUUCUUUUAAUAAUCGUCCCUCCUCUUAUCUCCCUCAGUCUAGCAGCCAGUUACCGACCUCCUCGAGCUGAAUGCACGAUGAAAAAGAGUCUUUGAAGAAUCAGACAUUUCGGAAUUUCCGAUGAGACGGCGGAAAAUAUGAAAAGUGUCGCGACCGACCCGGCUACUCCCGACAAUCGUCUUUCGUGUCGUUCGGUUUUAUUCGGUUAUUCCCGAUCCUGCUCGUGGAUUUUCGCCGGCGAUCGGCUCGACCCGAUGUACAGUAGGAUGAGUAGUAGAGCUGGCAUAAGACGACGUUUUGCGCCCUGUGCAUCGGCCAAUCGGCCAGUUCGUCGCCGGCCGUUCGUGAAAGAGGUACUCUCGCUUCGUUCUCGCUCCUAAAGACUUAUCCACGACGGAGCACCAGGUCCUAUUUGUCGACAAGUCGUCGUCAUCGUCAUACCGUCUUGAACCACGACAGGACUUUCGAAAUUUCCAGGGGAACAGACUGAUCGCAAGUGCACUUAUCUUUGCCACGUUCUCCUAAAAUCCAUUUGUCCAUCCGGUACUCAACGUAAUAUCAGUGUUGGUGACGUGUUAAUACGCCAUUUUCAUUAUAUAUAUUCGCGAUUAUUGCGAAGGUUAAGAGGCACCCGAUGGCAUAUGCAAUUCCUAGUAAUUUCUAAUAAAAUUACAAUUUUCGAAUAAGAUUUAUCACGAAAUUCUUCUUUUUAUUGACAGUCAUUCUAAUUUCCUAAUACACGGGAUAAUUGUAGAAAGAAGCAGCUAUUGGAUGAUCUACCAAAGUAAUAGAAGUCAAAAUUGUACGAUUUAAUUGAUAUCUUGGAUUUAAAAUUUAAAUAUAACCUCAAAAUUUACCAAGUCGAUACGGCUUUGGAAACUACGAAACUUCGAAAACCGGCUUCGCAACGUUUCAAACAUGAAUAACCACCUUCGGCACUGUACUCUAUGUAGCGGAGCGCAAAAAGAAGGUAGAAAAAAAGUUCGAAACGCUUAACGGUAAUCCAUCUUUUGAAAUACCAUAAAAUUUGUACCCGCUUCUGCUGCUGUUCUAUCCAAUAUAAUUAGAGAAUUAGGCAUAACGUGUUAAAUUAUCGUACGGUAUACGUUCCUAGAAAAUACUAGAAGCAACCGACUCACGUAACAGUUCUUUACAUCCCAAUACCGGAAUGUGCCAGUCUACUAUAUUAACAACGUCUUAAGUAAGGAAAAGUACUUAUUCCCGAAGAUGACUGCGUAAAAAUCAUUGAACCAGUAACAAUAGUUCACUAAUUCAAAACUGAGAAUAGAUAAGCCCGGGGGCCUCUUAAUGCCGUAAAGAUUCGUUACGCCACAGUGAAGAAACUUCCAUGGAAACAUUUAAAAACGAAGGAAGAAAAAAGAAAAGAAGAAGUACGAGGGAGAAGAAAACAAAAAAAAAGUGAAUAACUCGUGUGGCCCAGACUAGACGAUCUAAAUUGCAUUAUCGAUUGGAGUCAAAGUCGUCUUCAAGGAGGUCGAAAGUGCAGUAACCGCCUCCGUGGUUCGAACAACGAGAAACACGUGUUCAUGCAGUCUUUCCGCAAUUACACAGUUCACUUCGUAUAAGCCUGUAGCAGUUUGGUAUGCAGAUACUGUACUGUUACCUCCAUUGGGAACCGGCUUGUGGAAUUGAUCAUGCUGACCUAGAACAAGCCACGUCGACGACUUUGUUAAAGGCGGGGACGCACAGCAUCCGUGCGAUCCAUAUCUCUGAUAAUGCACGAUAAGAUAUAUAUAUUGCAGGGUGCAAUAAAAAAAUGACUUUAUUCCUCGCUGCGUAAUAGAAAAUUUUACACGCUAAUUUGUCUCCUUAUCAUUCUCCGGCAAUAGAACGUCGUGGUUUUAACGCUUUCGAAAGUCAUCGAGAUGACAGCUCGAUUAUUCCUAAGCCCGCGUGUAUAAUUGGUGCUACAUCUCUCAUCGUAUUUAACAUAGAGGGGACGUGAACAAACCCGUGAAAUUUAUAAGCGCUAAAGGCAUUCUAGGAAAUUUCACGCGACCAGCUAAAUUCUCGCGUUAAUUCUCGCGGAGCGAUGAUAGCGCUUGAAAUUUCCCACGAAGUAUUCAGUCAUACCAGAAAGCGAGUGUCUGUCGCGUUUUCGACUGUUUUCAUGGACGCGAAAUGAAGGAGGGACAAUGAAAGGGCAGGAACGACAAGGAGGGUACCAUAAAGUCACAGUCAGGAGAUUGGUCGAGGAUGACAGAGGAAAGGAGUCAGAAAUGCGUCUGAAUAACACACUCGUACGUUCCAUGUAUUAUACAUAUAUAUUCGCUGUUACGUGUAUUCUUGUAUGUAGAGAGGCCAUUACGUCCGGGAACUCUGUAAGCUCUGUCAUUUUAUUCUAACGUGCACGUCAUGGCGGCAGUUAGUUCGCAGUUACAUCGCGAAUGAUAUCUACAUAUCGUUAAAAUUGCACUGGACAUUCUCCUGCGGUGACGAUUCGUCGCGGAAUGACGACUUAAAAAUUUCGACAGGGUAGGGAUACGUGUCGAUAACAUAAAAAUUCUUGGUAGAGCCAAGUGCCGAGGGUACCGAAUUACGAUUCAUAGAAACCUAUAGGUCUAGGUCGUACAGUGUCGAAAUAUGGGAGGUAUCGAGUCUCCAUUACGCUUUGAACAGUUUGGACACACUAUACUUUUGAAGGUAUAAGAUCGAUACAUAAUAUAUUGAAAUGUGUAUUGAAUUCCAGUAUCACGCACGUACCUAGAAAAAUUGGUAUAAAAAAGUAUUUUUUAAAAUUAAUGCUCCAAGCUGGUUCUAUACCGUAUUUCAAUGUAAAGUCUCAAGCCUUUUUUGUAAUUUUUAUUAUCGAGCUAUAUAUUCGCUUCCCGUCGAGGAUCUUAGAAAUCGGUUUUCAAAUCUCAUAUACGGCAACAGAGCCCACAGUAAUUUCCCACGUGUACUUAUCGUGAAACUUACUCGUUUCGUAG